rnacentral:rRNA from 1 species
GAUGAACGCUAGCGGCAGGCCUAAUACAUGCAAGUCGAACGGUGUCUUCGGACAUAGUGGCGCACGGGUGCGUAACACGUAUGCAACCUACCUUACAUUGGGGGAUAGCCUUUCGAAAGGGAGAUUAAUACCGCAUAAGACAGUAGCUGGGCAUCCAGCAGCUGUUAAAGAUUUAUCGAUGUAAGCUGGGCAUGCGUCCAAUUAGCUAGUUGGUGAGGUAACGGCUCACCAAGGCAAUGAUUGGUAGGGGAACUGAGAGGUCAAUCCCCCACACUGAAACUGAGAUACGGGCCAGACUCCUACGGGAGGCAGCAGUAGGGAAUAUUGGGCAAUGGACGCAAGUCUGACCCAGCCAUGCCGCGUGCAGGAUGAAGGCGUUAUGCGUUGUAAACUGCUUUUAUACAGGAAGAAACGACUCUUGCGAGAGGCAUUGACGGUACUGUAUGAAUAAGCACCGGCUAACUCCGUGCCAGCCGCCGCAGUAAAAC